rnacentral:rRNA from 1 species
GACGAACGCUGGCGGCGUGCUUAACACAUGCAAGUCGAACGGUGAAGCUCUGCUUUUGUGGGGUGCUUGAGUGGCGAACGGGUGAGUAACACGUGAGUAACCUGCCUUUGACUUUGGGAUAACUCCCGGAAACUGGGGCUAAUACUGGAUAUGCGCUCCUCCUGCCUUGUGGGGGUUGGGAAGGUUCGGCGGUUGGGGAUGGACUGCUCGCUUCUUAGCUUGUUGGUGGGGGAGUGGUUUACGACGGCUUUGACGGGGAGCGGGCCUGAUAGGGUGACGGGCGACAUUGGGACCGGAAUACUGCCGGGAGUCCUAGUGGGGACAGCAGUGGGGAAUGUUGCACAAUGGGCGGAAGCCGGAUGGAGCAACGCCGCGUGCGGGAUGUCGGCCUUCGCGUUGGAUACCGCCUUCGCCUGUGACGAAGUGGUAGUGACGGUAAUGGGUAAAGAAGCACCGGCUAACUACGUG